AACACCAAAACUACCUCAUUUUGAUUGGACAGGGACUCUAAGGCCCUAUCCCAUAUCUAGCAAGCGUGAUGUACCUCCUCACAUAGAUCGGCCGGAUUGGGCAGAUGAUGGAAUUCCAAAAAUUGAGCCAAGUAGUGACUUCCAACAUGUUGUUGAGAUCAAAACACCAGAUCAAAUUGAAAAAAUGAGAGAAGUUGGCAGGAUUUCGAGGGAAGUUUUAGAUGCAGCUGCUAGAGUGAUUCGGCCGGGUAUAACUACUGAUGAAAUUGACCGUGUGGUACAUGAAGCAACAAUUGCUGCAGGCGGAUAUCCAUCUCCACUCAAUUAUCAUUUCUUUCCCAAGUCUUGCUGCACUUCUGUUAAUGAAGUGAUUUGUCAUGGCAUUCCUGAUGCAAGGAAAUUAGAGGAUGGAGAUAUUGUAAAUGUUGAUGUGACUGUGUACUAUAAAGGGUAUCAUGGUGAUCUCAAUGAGACAUAUUUCGUAGGAGAAGUUGAUGAAGAGUCCCG
rnacentral:misc_RNA from 1 species